AAUUAUUCUUGUGAAUAAGAAGAGACAUCAGUAGAGGUAUUAGAAUGAAAUUAUUAAUAAGGUGUCUAAUAAGGAGAAGGAAAUUACUAAUAAGAAAAUUAUUAGUAGGCAGUUAGAUAUUUGUCCUUGGAGAAGAUUAUGAAAAAAGUUGAAUGGGGGAAAGGUCCGGGUUAAUAAUGACCACCCAUUUCUUUAUUAGUGAUCAGUUGUACAGGAGACAUAUAAUACUCUGGCUACAUAUCUGAGUCUAUAUUUAAGGAUUAGUACUGUGUCCUUCCUUUGGAUAUGAGCCCUUAGCUUAUUUUUCUGUUGCUCAAGUUUUAUUUCCCCUUGAUAACUGUGCUCAGGGCCAUGCCCAGUCAACUUCUAAGUAACUCCAAGGACAGAAAAUCCAGAGCAACCCAAGGAAAUCUGUGACAGUGCUUGACCAACUCCAUUGCAGAGAUUGUUUUUCCUUGUACCUAACUGGAAUUUCUCUUGUCAUAACCUGAUUUUAUUUUCUCUUCUUCUUCAUGUUGAGUGGCCUUGUCCAUUGGAGACAGCAAUAAAUCUGUCUUGAGCCUUCUUUAGGCUGAACAAAUCCAUUUCUUUCAUCCUCUUUUAUAAUAAUCUCCAGUACCUUGAUCACCUUUAUGAUCUCUGUGGGACUUACUCCAGUAUAUCUGUGUUCUUCUUGUGAUGAAAAGCUCAAAACUGAACCCAUUGUCUCAGGUAUGGUCUCACAGGCACCAAACUGAGAGGAAUAUUAACUCAUUAGUAAUUCUGAUCUGUUAUUCCUCUGCUGUCGGCUAUCCAUCUACUUUUCAAAAGAAGCCAGUACACACAAGAUCUGGGAGCAUGCCUCAUCUGUGAAGUCUUAGGAAAAAAAAGAUGUCAAAUAAAUAUCUCACUCAUUACAAUAUCAUCCUUUAUUACCUUGUUUUUCACUUUUCUAUUUUUAUGACUUUCAUAAGAUUUUCUGCUUUUUGAUUUGUUUUGUUUGUUUUUUGUUUUAUUAUAGGAGAAAACUUCAUGCUUAACUAAGGUAUCC
rnacentral:lncRNA from 1 species